rnacentral:tRNA from 1 species
AAAGGGAGACCUAAUUCAGGUAUGGGACGAAAAAAAAGUAGUCCCUACCAAGAAUCAAUCCCAAAAGGUCGGAGCGAGGCAAAAUUGGCUUUCAAACUAGGUUCUGGGUUCACACAAGACCUGAAUCAGGAACAAGGGCUAUUAGCUCAGGUGGUUAGAGCGCACCCCUGAUAAGGGUGAGGUCCCUGGUUCGAGUCCAGGAUGGCCCACCUGUACAGGUGGCAAAAAGAAAGAAAAGAAGCGAGGAAUCAGCACCUUAUCUUACUUAUAUAGUAAGAGAGAAUGCUGGCUCUGAGUUCAGAGUCCAGAGGAACCUUGAAAACUGCAUAGAGCUAGGUGAAAAAGCCAAAAAAGAAGACCGCAAG